UCGUUAUGUUAUUUAAAUUAUAUAAUUUUUAUUCGCUAUAAAAUGAUGUAAAUGAUUUUUUUAUAUAUGAAAUUUAGAUUUGAUAUUCCAAAAAUUAAAUAUUUUUCUAAUCGUUCAAUCGUUUAAAUUGUAGACACUAUUUUAGGAACACACGGCUUGCACUUGGUUUCCACAUGCUCUCGACACCGUUUGAAUGAUUUAUAACAUUUAACCAGCAUAGACCUUGACGGCUAACCUUCUCCGCAUUAUUUUAAAAGCUUCCGAUAGAUUUCUGAUACUUCCACGCUUCGCUUGUAAACGCGAUGUUAAUAGCAUAUUUCAUAUUUCAUGAAAACUCAAGAAAGUUGCACGGAAGCUAUUAUCUCUUCUCUCAUUAUAUUACAUUAUACAUGUAAGAUUGUAUAACACAAAAUCUUUCUUUACAAAGUUGGGAAUCAUGAAAUAUCAAAAGCAAUUGUAUCUAAUUUAUUUUAAUAAAUUUAUUUUAAUAAAAAUUUUAAAUCUAUUUGCACGAGAAUAGAAUUAAUGAAUAUAUAAUAAAAAUGUAACAAGAAUUUGAAAAAUUGAUUCCAAAUUUAAUCGGUAGUAUAUGUUUUAGAAUUAUGUAUUGAAUUUUUGGAAGCAAACGAUUCAUGCAUAUUCCUUUCGAAACGAAUCGAUUCGAAACAAAACCACUACGACUAUCUAUACAAUUGCCAUAGUACAUGCCAGUGUUUUUCAACCUUUUUUGAUGUUCAAAUAACUUGCGAUCUCCUUCGAUGUAAGGUUGGGAAUCACUGGUGUAUACAAAAGUUUACGCUAUGCCUGGAGAGAAGCCAAACGAAAAACGCAAAAAUGCAAAUCUGCCUUUAUGCAUGGCCACCUACCGAAGUUUGAUCACUGUUUUGUGAUCCGGUGGAUAUAUAUUCCGGUCGAUUAUGUCCAUCAGUCACAAUUCGUAAUUUACCAAACGAAACGA